rnacentral:rRNA from 1 species
GAGUUUGAUCCUGGCUCAGAAUCAACGCUGGCGGCGCGCCUAACACAUGCAAGUCGAACGAGAAAGUGGAGCAAUCCAUGAGUACAGUGGCGUACGGGUGAGUAACACGUGGGUGAUCUACCUCUUAGUGGGGAAUAACUCUGGGAAACCGGAGCUAAUACCGCAUAAGCUCGAGAGAGGAAAGUCGAAAGACGCUGAGAGAGGAGCCCGCGGCCGAUUAGCUAGUUGGCAGGGUAAGAGCCUACCAAGGCAUAGAUCGGUAGCCGGCCUGAGAGGGCACACGGCCACACUGGCACUGAAACACGGGCCAGACUCCUACGGGAGGCAGCAGUGGGGAAUCUUGCACAAUGGGGGAAACCCUGAUGCAGCNACGCCGCGUGAGYGAUGAAGCCCUUAGGGGUGUAAAGCUCUUUCGGCAGGGAAGAUGGCGACGGUACCUGCAGAAGCAGCUGCGGCUAACUACGUGCCAGCAGCCGCGGUAAUACGUAGGCAUCGAGCGUUGUUCGGAGUUACUGGGCGUAAAGGGUGUGUAGGCGGUUGUUUAAGUUUGGUGUGAAAUCUCCCGGCUCAACUGGGAGGGUGCGCCGAAUACUGAGCGACUAGAGUGCGGGAGAGGAAAGUGGAAUUCCUGGUGUAGCGGUGAAAUGCGUAGAUAUCAGGAGGAACACCGGUGGUGUAGACGGCUUUCUGGACCGUAACUGACGCUGAGACACGAAAGCGUGGGUAGCAAACAGGAUUAGAUACCCUGGUAGUCCACGCCCUAAACGAUGCAUAUUUGGUGUGGGCAGUUCAUUCUGUCUGUGCCGGAGCUAACGCGUUAAAUAUGCCGCCUGGGGAGUACAGUCGCAAGGCUGAAACUCAAAGGAAUUGACGGGGGCCCGCACAAGCGGUGGAGCAUGUGGUUCAAUUCGACGCAACGCGAAGAACCUUACCUGGGCUCGAACGGCUUCCCAACGGAGGUGGAAACACCUUUACCCCGCAAGGGUGGAGUCGAGGUGCUGCAUGGCUGUCGUCAGCUCGUGUCGUGAGAUGUUGGGUUAAGUC